rnacentral:rRNA from 1 species
GACGAACGCUGGCGGCGUGCUUAACACAUGCAAGUCGAACGAAGUGGCGAACGGGUGAGUAACGCGUAAUCAACCUGCCCUUCAGAGGGGGACAACAGUUGGAAACGACUGCUAAUACCGCAUACUGAAGGAGGGGAUUGCGUCUGAUUAGCUAGUGGGAGGGGUAACGGCCCACCAAGGCGAUGAUCAGUAGCCGGUAUGAGAGGAUGAACGGCACAACUGGAACUGAGAUACGGCCCAGACUCCUACGGGAGGCAGCAGUGGGGAAUCUUCGGCAAUGGACGAAAGUCUGACCCAGCAACGCCGCGUGAAUGAAGAAGGUUUUCGGAUCGUAAAGCUCUGUCGUUAGAGAAGCGUUAUCUGCCCAGAAAGCCACGGCUAACUACGUGCCAGCAGCCGCGGUAAUAC